rnacentral:miRNA from 1 species
CAUCAGUGGGUAUUUGAAGUU